GUAACCUCACAUAAAUAGUGUUUGUGGUGUAAAAUCACAUGACAUCAAAAUGGCUGCUAUUAAAUAUGUCGACGGCACAGUGCACGUUCGCAUGAAGCACUAUGCAGGUGUUUACCGUGCACAUUGAUCCCUUACUGCUUAGAAAGUUGUCAAAGAGCUGAUCAUUAUUGCCCAGAUUGCUUCACAUUGAUCGGUUCAUGUGAAU